UCUCUCUCCAGCUCCUUCUGAAUCUGGCUACACUCCUGGGCCUCUCUCAACUUCUCCUGAACUGCCUGCUCCAACAGCCUCUGGGAGUCAUCCUGGGUAACCAGCUGAGACUUCAAGUCCUCCACCUGGAAAGUUAAGGGUGUAAAGGGCUUCCCUGCUCCUCUCGGCCUCCGCCAGGUCUACCUGCAAAGUGUUCCUCGCCUGCUCUGCUGCCUCCACUCUGCUGCACACAGACUGGUUCUCCUGCUCUAACUACUGACCAAAAAGACAAAGGGGUACAGGGCACCAAAGACAAAUGGUUAUGGUUCAGGGAUAUAGUGAAAUCCAAGGGAGGUAUAAAUCUGUCUGCAAAGAUGAACACAGGACACACAACUCCAUACUCCUCAGCUGUUUCUGAUAACCAGAUUCUCAAUCUCUCCACACAUCCCCUUCCUGAGGACUUGCUAAUUUUCCGGUGUAUCUGUUAAGGUACGUACCU